AUUGAACGCUGGCGGCAGGCUUAACACAUGCAAGUCGAGCGGAAACGAUGGUAGCUUGCUACCAGGCGUCGAGCGGCGGACGGGUGAGUAAUACUUAGGAAUCUACCUAGUAGUGGGGGAUAGCUCGGGGAAACUCGAAUUAAUACCGCAUACGACCUACGGGAGAAAGGGGGCAACUUGUUGCUCUCGCUAUUAGAUGAGCCUAAGUCGGAAUGGUGGGGUAAAGGCCUACCAUGGCGACGAUCUGUAGCUGGUCUGAGAGGAUGAUCAGCCACACCGGGACUGAGACACGGCCCGGACUCCUACGGGAGGCAGCAGUGGGGAAUAUUGGACAAUGGGGGCAACCCUGAUCCAGCCAUGCCGCGUGUGUGAAGAAGGCCUUUUGGUUGUAAAGCACUUUAAGCAGUGAAGAAGACUCCAUGGUUAAUACCCAUGGACGAUGACAUUAGCUGCAGAAUAAGCACCGGCUAACUCUGUGCCAGCAGCCGCGGUAAUACAGAGGGUGCAAGCGUUAAUCGGAAUUACUGGGCGUAAAGCGAGCGUAGGUGGCUUGAUAAGUCAGAUGUGAAAUCCCCGGGCUUAACCUGGGAACUGCAUCUGAUACUGUUAGGCUAGAAUAGGUGAGAGGAAGGUAGAAUUCCAGGUGUAGCGGUGAAAUGCGUAGAGAUCUGGAGGAAUACCGAUGGCGAAGGCAGCCUUCUGGCAUCAUAUUGACACUGAGGUCCGAAAGCGUGGGUAGCAAACAGG
rnacentral:rRNA from 1 species